GGAACCAUGCCUGAAUGCCAAAGGACCACUUUGAUAGAGUGACUUACAGGGGUUAAAAUCCCCUUGGUUCCU
rnacentral:tRNA from 1 species